rnacentral:rRNA from 1 species
AUACGGAGGAUGCAAGCGUUAUCCGGAUUUAUUGGGUUUAAAGGGUGCGUAGGCGGGACUGUAAGUCAGGGGUGAAAUACUGCAGCUUAACUGUAGCAUUGCCUUUGAAACUGCCGUUCUUGAGUACAGUUGAGGUAGGCGGAAUGUGGUGUGUAGCGGUGAAAUGCAUAGAUAUACCACAGAACGCCGAUUGCGAAGGCAGCUUACUAAGCUGUUACUGACGCUGAGGCACGAAAGCGUGGGGAUCAAACAGGAUUAGAUACCCUGGUAGUCCACGCUGUAAACGAUGAUUACUGGUUGUUAGCGAUAUAUAGCUAGUGACUGAGCGAAAGCAUUAAGUAAUCCACCUGGGGAGUACGUCGGCAACGAUGAAACUCAAAGGAAUUGACGGGU